rnacentral:rRNA from 1 species
CCUACGGGAGGCAGCAGUGAGGAAUAUUGGUCAAUGGACGAGAGUCUGAACCAGCCAAGUAGCGUGAAGGAUGACUGCUCUAUGGGUUGUAAACUUCUUUUAUAUGGGAAUAAAAUGUUCCACGUGUGGCAUUUUGUAUGUACCAUAUGAAUAAGGAUCGGCUAACUCCGUGCCAGCAGCCGCGGUAAUACGGAGGAUCCGAGCGUUAUCCGGAUUUAUUGGGUUUAAAGGGAGCGUAGGUGGAUGGUUAAGUCAGUUGUGAAAGUUUGCGGCUCAACCGUAAAAUUGCAGUUGAAACUGGCAGUCUUGAGUACAGUAGAGGUAGGCGGAAUUCGUGGUGUAGCGGUGAAAUGCUUAGAUAUCACGAAGAACUCCGAUUGCGAAGGCAGCUCACUGGACUGCAACUGACACUGAGGCUCGAAAGUGUGGGUAUCAAACAGGAUUAGAUACCCUUGUAGUC